CUAAGUGGAAAACCAUGUGGAAAGGCACAGACAGCCAGGAGGUUGGCUUAGAAGCAGCCACCCUUUAAAGAAAGCGUAAUAGCUCACUGGUCGAGUCGGUCUGCGGGGAAGAUUUAACGGGGCUAAGCAGUGAACCGAAGCUUGGGGUGCAUACUUUGUAUGCGCGGUAGAGGAGCGUUCCGUAAGCCGUUGAAGGUGGAUUGAGAAGUCUGCUGGAGGUAUCGGAAG
rnacentral:rRNA from 1 species